rnacentral:misc_RNA from 1 species
GUUUCGAACUCCAUUGUGAAGGACGCCUUGGCACAGAUGAAGAAGGAUCACUCUGGGAAUGUGUACCGGAAGAUGAUGAUCCGCUAGAAUCUACCAGUUCACUUUUAUACUUCUCAGUGUAUCUUACAAGAUUAUCAUGUUCCAAGAGCUUGCUUCGGAGCACUGAAGUUUCAGGCAAUGCAUACAGUGUAAAAAGUGCAUGACCGAGGAAAACUGCAUCCAAACUUGUCGGCCUGUUUUCGAAGAAAUAAGCCUGCUCCCCUAAUCUAGUUGAUAAAGCACUAAAGGCAUCAUUGGCAUUCCUGUAAAUCUCUUCCUCUCUUCUUUCAGCAUUUUCUUUUGUAAUACCAAGAAUUUGUUUCACAACAUGAACUUGCUUUAAGUACAAGAUUUUUCCAAGUGGCCACGGGAGAUCUGAA